AGUGAACGCUGGCGGUAGGCCUAACACAUGCAAGUCGAACGGCAGCACAGGAGAGCUUGCUCUCUGGGUGGCGAGUGGCGGACGGGUGAGGAAUACAUCGGAAUCUACUCUGUCGUGGGGGAUAACGUAGGGAAACUUACGCUAAUACCGCAUACGACCUACGGGUGAAAGCAGGGGACCUUCGGGCCUUGCGCGAUUGAAUGAGCCGAUGUCGGAUUAGCUAGUUGGCGGGGUAAAGGCCCACCAAGGCGACGAUCCGUAGCUGGUCUGAGAGGAUGAUCAGCCACACUGGAACUGAGACACGGUCCAGACUCCUACGGGAGGCAGCAGUGGGGAAUAUUGGACAAUGGGCGCAAGCCUGAUUCAGCCAUACCGCGUGGGUGAAGAAGGCCUUCGGGUUGUAAAGCCCUUUUGUUGGGAAAGAAAUCCAACUGGCUAAUACCCGGUUGGGAUGACGGUACCCAAAGAAUAAGCACCGGCUAACUUCGUGCCAGCCGCCGCAGUAA
rnacentral:rRNA from 1 species